GGGAGGCAGCAGUGAGGAAUAUUGGACAAUGGGCGCAAGCCUGAUCCAGCAAUACCGCGUGUGUGAAGAAGGCCUGAGGGUUGUAAAGCACUUUUAAUCGGGAGGAACAUCUGGUGGCUAAUACCCAUCAGUCUGACAUUACCGAUAGAAAAAGCACCGGCUAACUCCGUGCCAGCAGCCGCGGUAAUACGGAGGGUGCAAGCGUUAAUCGGAAUUACUGGGCGUAAAGCGUGCGUAGGCGGCUGUUUAAGUCAGAUGUGAAAGCCCCGGGCUUAACCUGGGAACUGCAUUUGAUACUGGGCAGCUAGAGUUGAGUAGAGGAAAGGGGAAUUUCAGGUGUAGCGGUGAAAUGCGUAGAGAUCUGAAGGAACACCAGUGGCGAAGGCGCCUUUCUGGACUCAAACUGACGCUGAGGUACGAAAGCGUGGGUAGCAAACAGGAUUAGAUACCCGGGUAC
rnacentral:rRNA from 1 species